CCUACGGGUGGCUGCAGUGGGGAAUUUUCCGCAAUGGGCGAAAGCCUGACGGAGCAAGACCGCGUGAGGGAAGAAGGCCUGUGGGUUGUAAACCUCUUUUGAUAGGGAAGAAGUUCUGACGGUACCUAUCGAAUCAGCCUCGGCUAACUCCGUGCCAGCAGCCGCGGUAAUACGGAGGAGGCAAGCGUUAUCCGGAAUUAUUGGGCGUAAAGCGUCCGUAGGUGGUUGUUCAAGUCUUCUGUCAAAGCGCGGAGCUUAACUCCGUAAAGGCAGAG
rnacentral:rRNA from 1 species